rnacentral:rRNA from 1 species
UGGGGAAUAUUGCACAAUGGGCGCAAGCCUGAUGCAGCCAUGCCGCGUGUGUGAAGCAGGCAUUCGGGCUGUAAAGCACUUUCAGCGGGGAGGAAGGCGUUAAGGUUAAUAACCUUGGCGAUUGACGUUACCCGCAGAAGAAGCACCGGCUAACUCCGUGCCAGCAGCCGCGGUUAUACGGAGGGUGCAAGCGUUACUCGGAAUUACUGUGCGUAAAGCGCACGCAGGCGGUCCGUCAAGUCGGAUGUGAAAUCCCCGGGCUCAACCUGGGAACGGCAUUAGAAACUGGCAGGCUAGAGUCUUGUAGAGGGGGGUAGAAUUCCAGGGGUAGCGGUGGAAUGCGAAGAGAUCUGGAGGAAAACCGGUUGCGAAGGCGGCCCCCUGGACAAAGACUGACGCUCAGGUGCGAAAGCGUGGGGAGCAAACAGG